CAAAUCAUCCUUUUUCUUGUUUAAGCAAAAGCUUUCUUCUUCCAGCAGCCUCACCGUCAUGGCGUCAUCAACUCAUCGUCCAUUCGUCCACCAUGCUGGAGAGAGUCCUCGCUCUGCGACGCACUACCCCUCACCUGACAACUCCGCGGCCUCCGCCUCUGCCUCCGCCGACGAUGACGAAUCCAAAGUCAGGAAGCACCACCGUUUCUUCUUGCAAGUCGCGACCAGGGCCUCCAAUCACCUCUCCCGAUUGAGUUGUCUUGGCUCCAACUGAUUUUUUUGCCAUCUCGUUGCUUCCCCUCCUCUGAUCGGUUUCUUCCUUGCUCUUUAGUUCGAGUGGCUUAAUGUGUGCGUCCUCUUCUUCCCCAUUUUCUCGGGUCGGUUUAUUGGCUUCGGAUGUUCUUGAAUCCGAUUUCGGAGCUCUCAACGUGCCCUGGUUACGCUUAGAUUGAGGGAAAAUGCUACCUUGGGAAGUGUUUCGUUUCUUCCAGGGCUCAGUGAAUUAAUGAAUUGAAUGUUCAUAAACUGGAAGAAGGUCUGUCUAUCA